GAGUAAUGCCUAGGAAUCUGCCUGGUAGUGGGGGACAACGUCUCGAAAGGGACGCUAAUACCGCAUACGUCCUACGGGAGAAAGCAGGGGACCUUCGGGCCUUGCGCUAUCAGAUGAGCCUAGGUCGGAUUAGCUAGUUGGUGAGGUAAUGGCUCACCAAGGCGACGAUCCGUAACUGGUCUGAGAGGAUGAUCAGUCACACUGGAACUGAGACACGGUCCAGACUCCUACGGGAGGCAGCAGUGGGGAAUAUUGGACAAUGGGCGAAAGCCUGAUCCAGCCAUGCCGCGUGUGUGAAGAAGGUCUUCGGAUUGUAAAGCACUUUAAGUUGGGAGGAAGGGUUGUAGAUUAAUACUCUGCAAUUUUGACGUUACCGACAGAAUAAGCACCGGCUAACUCUGUGCCAGCAGCCGCGGUAAUACAGAGGGUGCAAGCGUUAAUCGGAAUUACUGGGCGUAAAGCGCGCGUAGGU
rnacentral:rRNA from 1 species